rnacentral:rRNA from 1 species
UACGAAGGGGGCUAGCGUUGUUCGGAAUUACUGGGCGUAAAGGGCGCGUAGGCGGUGUGUCAAGUCAGGCGUGAAAGCCCCGGGCUCAACCUGGGAACAGCGCUUGAGACUGGCACGCUCGAGUUCGGGAGAGGAUGGUGGAAUUCCCAGUGUAGAGGUGAAAUUCGUAGAUAUGUUGUAGAACACCGAUUGCGAAGGCAGCUUACUAAGCUGUGAUUGACGCUGAGGCACGAAAGCGUGGGGAGCGAACAGG